rnacentral:lncRNA from 1 species
CGCGCAGGAAGGUCCGAGGCUGGGGGAGCAGCCGUUGGCUCUGGUGCCCCUGGGGGUGGGAGCACGAGUGGGCAAGGAUGAUGGUGAGGCAGAGGAGGCGGCCCCGAGGGAGCGCCCGGCUGAGAGGCGGGGGGCCGAGGGGCCCGGGGAGCGGGCGUCACCGAGGGCCCUGGAAGCGGCAGGGCUGGGGGAGAGGAGACGCGUGUGUGGAGCAUGGGGACCCCAGCCCAGCUCCCACUUGCAGACCUGGGCCGCGGGCUGCCGGCCGAGUGGCCGGGGGGCCUGGCUGCCCAGGAGGCGGGCCGGGGCCGCGGCCGGGGGCGCGGAGCGGAGUUAGGGUCGCCAGGCCGAGCCGAGGUGGGACGGACCGACGCAGAGAGGAAGGGAAGCCACCUGGCCUGAAGAUCCUGUCUCUAAGAUCCCAUUCUGAGGAGACACAGGUCAGAAUGGAGAUGGG